rnacentral:rRNA from 1 species
AUUGAACGCUGGCGGCAGGCUUAACACAUGCAAGUCGAGCGGAGAUGAGGUGCUUGCACCUUAUCUUAGCGGCGGACGGGUGAGUAAUGCUUAGGAAUCUGCCUAUUAGUGGGGGACAACAUUCCGAAAGGAAUGCUAAUACCGCAUACGCCCUACGGGGGAAAGCAGGGGAUCUUCGGACCUUGCGCUAAUAGAUGAGCCUAAGUCGGAUUAGCUAGUUGGUGGGGUAAAGGCCUACCAAGGCGACGAUCUGUAGCGGGUCUGAGAGGAUGAUCCGCCACACUGGGACUGAGACACGGCCCAGACUCCUACGGGAGGCAGCAGUGGGGAAUAUUGGACAAUGGGCGGAAGCCUGAUCCUGCCAUGCCGCGUGUGUGAAGAAGGCCUUUUGGUUGUAAAGCACUUUAAGCGAGUAGGAGGCUACCUGGAUUAAUACUCUAGGAUAGUGGACGUUACUCGCAGAAUAAGCACCGGCUAACUCUGUGCCAGCAGCCGCGGUAACAC